AGCUACUCCGUGCCAGCAGCCGCGGUAAUACGGGGGGUGCAAGCGUUAUUCGGAAUCAUUGGGCGUAAAGAGCACGUAGGCGGCUUGGUAAGUCAGAUGUGAAAGCCCUGGGCUUAACCCGGGAAGUGCAUUUGAUACUGCCAGGCUUGAGUAUGGGAGAGGGAAGUGGAAUUCCUGGUGUAGAGGUGAAAUUCGUAGAUAUCAGGAGGAACACCGGUGGCGAAGGCGACUUCCUGGACCAAUACUGACGCUGAGGUGCGAAGGCGUGGGUAGCAAACAGGAUUAGAUACCCUGGUAGUCCACGCUGUAAACGAUGUUCACUAGGUGUUGCGGG
rnacentral:rRNA from 1 species